UCUCUCCCCCCUCCCAUUCGCCAGCCCUCCCUUUCCGCCUUCCUCUGCCCCUCCCCCCGCCUGCCUGCCCCGCCCCUCCCUCCCCUCCCCGCUCUCCUCUACUUUGCAGCCUCUGCCCUGCGCCCCCCAGCCCCACGUGAGGGGUGCAGGAUGGGAGGACCACCGCCUCCCCGCCUGGCCGUGGAAAAGCUUUGACGCAGGUGUGCACCCGUUUCUCGGCCCUGCAGAUCCCCCGACGUGGGGAAAAUCCAUCCAUCACGCAUGCGUGCACACACACGUGCACACAUCACGCGCGCAGAAGGUAACACAGACCAGAAGCAAGCCCUCCGCCCUCUGUCUUGGUUUUGGUUUCCCCAGAAGCAGACCCCGAGUUAUAAGUGUCCUCGGGAGAUUCCAUAAACUCCUUGACCACACGUUCUGAAGCCAGACAAUUCACCAUCUGGCCAACGCGGAUUGCUGCCUACGCUGUGCCAGGCAGUGUCCUCGGCACUGGGCCACAGGGAACCAGGUGCCUUGUCCCCAAGAGCUUCACGUUCUGCCGGGGAAGAUGUCGAUAGGUGAGUAACUACGUAAAGCAGCACUAUGGUCCCGAAGAAGAAAGGAGAAUAAUAGGAGAAUAAAGCAGCUCAGAGUGGUCACAGAGGUGUCACUGGGUUAAGUGAGUUGGUCUGAGCGGUUAGACAUCGUGCUGGAGGAGGAAACCCAGCUCGAGAGGGGAGGGGCGGUCCAGGCUGACGCAGGCAGGAGGGCAACCUGCCUCUGAUAGAGUACAGAGGGGGUUGCUCUGACCGGUGCAGAGGUCAGGGGACGGUUGUCAGAGAGGAGGCCACAGGAGCCAGCAGGACCCACUGUGGAGGGCCACAUCACCCCCAGUCAGGAAUUCGAGUUUCGGCCCCAGUGUAAGGGGAGAAUUUUUGACUUGGGAAGUUUAGAACACCCCUCCGGACACAGUAUCAGGAAUUCCCCAGCAAGGGACAAGAGGAGACGGUGGGGCACCAUGGAGGAGACUACAGGAGUCGACAGGCAGGUGGCCCGGCCCAGGUGGUCACAGCAGGGACGAGAGACACAGGAGGCUGACAGUUGGGGCUUCCCAGUGUCUGGUUGGCAUCCUUUUGGCCCCGUCUCGUUCCCUCUCUUGUUCACUUAAUGCCCUUUUCGACAACCCACCGCCAACUUGAAGACCAGCUUGAAGCCCCUUCCUCUCCAUUGUCCCCUCCACAGACCGAGUCCCAUGUGAGUCAUCACCUGCACCUGUCACAGCGUCUCUCAGCUGGGCUCCAAGAGGCUUAAAACUGCAGGUGCAUUUAAAUGCCUCACGCUUUCCCAGGCUUUGUUAACCACUGUUUUUCUGCCCAAACAUGAAACGGGGUUAUAAAAAGUGUUCACCUGACAUUGCCUGUGUGGAGCCAAUGUCAGAACACCCCUGAAGCUGCUCUCCAAAGAGAAACCUUUCCAGAAGGCCCAGCUCAGUGACUGGCAUUAAGGGGGUGUGUUAGUUUUCUACUGCUGUGUAACACAUUACCACACUUAGCAGCUAAGGACAACACAAGUUUAUUAUCUCACCAUUUAUGUGAGUAGGAAUAUGGGUCUGGCUCAGCUGGGUUCUCUUUUCCAGGGUCUCUUGCAGGCUGUACGCAAGUUGUUGACUGGGGCAGGGGCCUCAUCUGAAGGCUCGGCUGGGGAAGGGUCUGAUGCCCCGCCCCACCACCAAGCUCACAUAGUUGUUGUCAGGAAACGGUCCCCCCAGGCCUUAGACUGAGGGUCUCAGUUCCUAGCUGGCUGUAGACCAGAGGCCACCCUCUCUGACACAUGAGUCUCUCCAACAUGACAACCUGCUUCACCAAAGCCAGGAAAGAGUCCACUGGUGAGACAAGAGCCACAGAACCAUGAAAGAGAGAUCCCAUUGGAUUUGCCAUAUUUUAUUGCUUAGAAUUGAGUCAUAGGUACACACACACACACACACACACACACACUCAGGGGGAAGGUAUCAUCAUACAAGAGCAUGAAUGCCAGGAGACAGGGAUCACUGGGACUUAUCUUAGAGGCCGUCCCCCAUGAUCCACUGUGGUAGGCACCUUCUAAGACGACGCCCCAAAUUCCCAUCUUCUGGGAUUCACCACCUUGUAUAAUCUUCCCUUUAGUAACUUGCUUUUAACCAGUGGACUACCUCAACACUGAUGGCAUGCAGAUUCAUGAUUAGGUAAUAUAAGAUAGUGCCUCCCAUCUUGCUGGAAGACUUGCUCUUUGCUAGAUUUGAUGAAGCACAUUGCCUUGUUGGGGGGAACCCAUGUGGCAGGGAUCUGAGGACACCCUUCAGCCAAUAGCCAGCGAGGAACUGAGGCCCUCAGCAAAGCAGCCCAAAGGAAUCAAAUCAUGUCAAUAACCAUGUGAGUGAGCUUGGGAGUGGAUCAUUCCCCUGUUGAGCCUUCAGAUGAGACCCCAUGCCAGCUGACCCCUUGAUUGUAGCCUGCAAGAGACCUUGAGCAGAGGACCCAGAAAAGCUGGGCCCCGAUUUCCGACCCACAGAAACUGUGGAAUAAUGAAUAUUGUUUAAGCUGCUAAGUUUAUGAUAAUCUGUUACUCAGCAAAAGAUAACUAAUAUACUGGGUACUCAGUAAGUCAUCCCUGAAUAACUGAAGGAAUGAAAUAAUUAAGCAGGAAACACUGCCUGAGUUUGGCGAGGUGUGGCCCGAAACGCUCGGGGCGAUUUUCCUUCUCGCCCUGGGGUGACCAAGCGGGACCCAGUAUUUGAGAUCAACCCCGCGCCUACACACCUGCCGUGGCCGGGGCGGCCAGUGAAUCCGAAAACAGACCCAACCCUGCCGUCCCAGCAGUCACUGGCCAGAGCGCGGUCUCUCCGGAACCCUCUCUCCUCGCACACGGCUCACCUGGGCUGAGCAGCCGGCAGGGCUGGGACCGCCCGACCCGCUCUCCUUUGCGUGGGAGCAGCUUAGGUAACAGCGCGCUUGGAGCUCACACGGGGCUGACGGCCCGGCCUCCGAGACACCCCGAGGCCUCCUUGGCUGCUUGGUAAUCAGACCAGGAACCUGUGAGGAGGCGUGGCCCUCAUUUCACUUAAUUGAAAAUCCUCCCCAUCAAAGAGAACAUCCGUGCUCCGUGGCCCUUUCUUCCCUCGCCAGUGACCAUUAACCUUUAAAAAGAUGCGUUAUGAGCCAUUUGCCAGCCUCGUUCUCCAGGCCAGGGUGUAAUGAGGCCCAUAAACGGGCCAGACUCGGGAGGGAGCGAACGUGAGAAGCGCCACAAAUGAGAGACCCGCGCAGAGCGGGCCCCGGGCCGCCCAGCCACGCAGGUGCCCAAACUGGACACGUCAGCAGCCACGGGACUGUGGGACGGCCGAGGCCGGGUCGUGUUCAAGAAGCGAGUUCAACCGAGCCAGCAGUGGAAUGAGUGCCCGACCCAGCCCCCGGCUCACUGCUGCCUCCUCGGCCCCUACCCCUCUCUCCCUCCUCUCUGGCUCCACCGCCCUCCUGGCUGUGCCUGGAAAUGCCGGGUGCAUGCCUACCCCAGGGCCUUUGCGCGGCCAUUACCUCUGCUGGGAAAGCUCCUCCCCCAGAGAGUCUCAUGGCCGCUCCCUCGCCUGUCACUUUCUCAGGGAAAUCUCCCGGACCCCACUUGUAGAAUAACAUCCCCCACCACAUCCCGCACACUCCCUGGCUCCCUCCCCUGCUUUAUUCGUCACCAAAGCAUUGGCCAGACCUGCCAGACCACUCCCCUUACCGACUUCCAUUCAUGGCAGCGUUCCUCUUUCUACAUCAGGACGCUCAGCCCACAAGGGCAGGGAGCUCUGUGCGUCUGUUUUUCCACUGCUCUGUUCCCAGCACCCGGAACAGCGUCAGACACGUCGUCGACACUUCCUAAGUCUUUGUGGAAUGCGCGAGUGAGUGAGUGAACGCACGCACCCGUGAAUCGAAUUCCACUGACGGACAAACCUUCGGGCCUUGGAAGAACGUGUUUGAAAACAAACAGGGUGGAUUCUAGAAGCUGCGCCCCUGCAUCUGCUGAAGGGAAGGGUCAAGAAACACCAAUCAUCCGGCGGAACCCUCGUGCCGAGCUGCCACCAAUCUGGCUGCCACAGGGCCGCCCUCGCGAAGGCGCAGAGACAGGAGCCGGGAAAGAGGGACGUCCGAGAGUUUGCUGCUCCCCAGAAGCGACACAGAGUUUCCGGGGGCCCCUUGCUGGUCGUGCUCCCUCUGCCGGAGUCCUCUCCCCACAGGCCCUGCCCGGGCAGCUCCCCCCUCUCCUGGGUCUCCGUUCCAGGGCCCCCUCCUCCGGGAAGCCCGGACCUCAGGUGACAGCCCCCUGUCGUGCCCGCGGCUUACUCCCCUCAGGUCGCUCUCGGAUAGUCUCUGUUUCCCUGCCUCUUCUCCGGCCCCCGGGGGGGACAGGAGCUCCUUGCCGGUCUCGGUCUCAGUCUCGUCCACCCCCGGCCCCUCCGCCAGGAUCCGACACAGUAGGUGCUCAGUCAGCAUCGAUCAGGGGACAAACAGCUGUACGUCCGCGCUGGGGGCUUGUAAAGUCACACCGGACAUUUCCGGUGCCGGAAGGGCCUACAAGUGCCACUUGCUGUCGUCUCGGGGGGCUGGGGUCGCCUGAUGUGAAACAGUUAUGAAAAGGGUGGCCCAAUUAGUUUUUCCAAAGCCCCUCAGGCUUUUCUAGACUUCGACAAAAAUGUCGUGCUUCUUUGUUUUGAAUCUGUGUUCGUUGAAUCACUCAGUAAGGAUGGAAUAUAGCAAUUAUUUGCCUGUUCUUUUCUUUUCUCCCCUUAGCAGGCAACAUGACUUUUUUUAAAGCUGGUUCAGCGUGUGAGCCCCCCUCCUCCCCCUCCGGAGGACCAUGGCGGAGCAUUCCAGGCAUUAAUGGCCACCCAGGAGUCUGGAGUCCAGGGACCUGUGACCCUAGUCCGCCGUCUGCUCCUGCUACGUGCCCAGGUCACAGCACAGCCAGUGGGGCCUCGGUGCUGCCUGCCACCCUCUGACGUGAGGAGUGUGAGGAGGUGACCCCGAGGUUCCCACCCGCUUUGACCUGUACUCAUGCAGGUCCCAGACAGGGUCGGGGAAGGGGCAUCACACCGGGGACAGGUCCCGGGAUGGACACUGGCCCUGUGGCCCUGCUGCCUUCCGUGGGUGAGGCCCCAUCAGUUCUCCCUGGAAGGUUUAGUUCACCCCGAGCCCCACCCAUCUGCCCCGACAGCAAGCCUCCCAUCGCUCCUCCUGCCCACACCCCAAGGCUGACCUGCCCCCACAUCCUUGUGGUCACUUCCUCUGGUCCUCACCUCAGAACCCAACGUGGAUUCUGCCUCCUGUAACCCCAGCACCCAGACGGUGCAACCACUACGUUUUACCCAGGACAGGCUUUCAGAGUCUGCAGUCCCAGGAGGGUCUUUCCUGGCACGUGGAGGGAUGAUGGAGCAUCUCCAAGGAACCGCGGGACCUCGAAGCCCCGGGGAGCACGGAGAGCUGCAGGAGGGAGCCUCCGGUGGGAGCCACCAUGGAGCCCUGCGGGGACCCGUGGACAGGCCGGGCAGGGGCGUCGGGAAGGCCUCGGCAUGCAGGGCUAUGGCUAAUGCUCCCCCUCCUGAAACUGCCCCCCACCCCGGCAAGCCCCUACUCCCCCACUCACGCCCUGCGCCCCCCUGCUUUGAGCUGAGGGCUGGCCGGGCUGGCCUCACUGGUCUCUACCCGGAGCGGCCAGGACGGCGGGAGGGAAGGGACCCGUGCCCGUGCACAGAGACUGUGUGAGCAGGGUCAGGCGCUGAAGUCCCCUGGGGCUAACAACUGCUCCAGGAAUAACGUCCCCGUUAGCAUUCAAUUAAACCCUUCUCAGAU